UACGGAGGGUGCAAGCGUUAUCCGGAUUCACUGGGUUUAAAGGGUGCGUAGGUGGGUUUGUAAGUCAGUGGUGAAAUCUCCGUGCUUAACAUGGAAACUGCCAUUGAUACUAUAGAUCUUGAAUUUUCUGGAGGAUAGCGGAAUAUGUCAUGUAGCGGUGAAAUGCUUAGAUAUGACAUAGAACACCAAUUGCGAAGGCAGCUUACUACGGAUUGAUUGACACUGAGGCACGAAAGCGUGGGGAUCAAACAGG
rnacentral:rRNA from 1 species